GGUUUGUUUGUAGGAUAAGUUA
rnacentral:snRNA from 1 species